UACCUCGUGGUGAUAAGAC
rnacentral:misc_RNA from 1 species